rnacentral:rRNA from 1 species
UACGAAGGGGGGCUAGCGUUGCUCGGAAUUACUGGGCGUAAAGGGCGCGUAGGCGGCCGAUCAAGUCAGGCGUGAAAAUUCCCCGGGCUCAACCUGGGGGGCUGCGCUUGAGACUGGUUGCUAGAGGCCGAGAGAGGGUGGUGGAAUUCCCAGUGUAGAGGUGAAAUUCGUAGAUAUUGGGAAGAACACCGGUGGCGAAGGCGGCCACCUGGCUCGGUACUGACGCUGAGGCGCGACAGCGUGGGGGAGCAAACAGGG